CGGUUGAUCCUGCCGGACCCGACUGCUAUUUGGGUGAGGAUAAGCCAUGCGAGUUGAAUGGGAUAUUUCCCAUGGCAAACUGCUCAGUAACACAUGAUCAACUUGCCCUAUAGAGAAAAAUAACCUCGGGGAACUGAGGAUAAUUUUUCAUAGUUGAAAAGGCUUGGAAAAGUUUUUCAACAAAUGGAUAAAAAAAAAUGGUUUUUAUCCGCUAUAGGAUAGGAUCGUGGUCGAUUAUGGUUGUUGGUGAGGUAACGGCUCACCAAGCCGAUAAUCGAUAGGGGCCGUGAGAGCGGGAGCCCCGAGAUGGGUACUGAGACAACGACCCAGGCCUUACGAGGCGCAGCAGGCGCGGAACCUCCGCAAUACACGAAAGUGUGACGGGGUUACCCAAAGUGUUCAAUUUUGAACUGUGGUAGGUGAGUAAUGUUCCCUACUAGAAAGGAGAGGGCAAGGCUGGUGCCAGCCGCCGCGGUAAAACCAGCUCUUCAAGUGGUCGGGAUAUUUAUUGGGCUUAAAGUGUCCGUAGCCGGUUUAGUAAGUUCCUGGUAAAAUCGGGUAGCUUAACUAUCUGUAUGCUAGGAAUACUGCUAUACUAGAGGGCGGGAGAAGUCUGAGGUACUACAGGGGUAGGGGUGAAAUCUUAUAAUCCUUGUAGGACCACCAGUGGCGAAGGCGUCAGACUGGAACGCGCCUGACGGUGAGGGACGAAAGCCAGGGGAGCGAACCGGAUUAGAUACCCGGGUAGUCCUGGCCGUAAACGAUGCAUACUAGGUGAUGGUACGGCCAUGAGCCGUAUCAGUGCCGUAGGGAAACCGUUAAGUGUGCCGCCUGGGAAGUACGGUCGCAAGGCUAAAACUUAAAGGAAUUGGCGGGGGAGCAC
rnacentral:rRNA from 1 species